rnacentral:rRNA from 1 species
CACUCUGAUCCAGCCAUGCCGCGUGUGUGAAGAAGGCCUUCGGGUUGUAAAGCACUUUUUAUUGGGAGGAAAAGGUUCCCUCUAGUAGCAUCUUGUCUGGACUGUACCAAUAAAGAACGCACCGGUUAACACCGUGCCCCCCGCUACUACAAUACAA